CAUUAUGAAGCUAAACUAGCAUUAGCCUUUUAAGCUAAAGAUGAGAGGUAUUAAACUCUCCAUAAUG
rnacentral:tRNA from 1 species